rnacentral:guide_RNA from 1 species
AUAAUCACAUAAUAAAUGAUAGAACGUAUAAGAUAGAUGAAAAU